GACAGAGGGUGCAAACGUUGUUCGGAAUUACUGGGCGUAAAGCGCGUGUAGGCGGCGAUGCAAGUCGGAUGUGAAAGCCCUCGGCUCAACUGGGGAAGUGCACUCGAAACUGCAACGCUAGAGUCUCGGAGAGGAUCGUGGAAUUCUCGGUGUAGAGGUGAAAUUCGUAGAUAUCAGGAAGAACACCCGUGGCUAAGGCGGCUCUCUAGUACGGUACUGACGCUGAGACGCGAAAGCGUGGGGAGCGAACAGG
rnacentral:rRNA from 1 species